rnacentral:rRNA from 1 species
GAUCGCCUUAAGUUGAUAUGGCUCAGAACGAACGCUGGCGGCGUGGAUAAGACAUGCAAGUCGAGCGCGAUUUAUUUUGUAGCAAUACAGGAUAAGUUGAGCGGCGAAAGGGUGCGUAACACGUGGGCAAUUUGCCAUGAAGUUGGGGAUAACUCGCUGAAAGGCGAGCUAAUACCGAAUGUGAUUAUCUGGAGGCAUCUUUGGAUAAUUAAAGCUGGGGAUCGAAAGACCUGGCGCUUUAUGAUGAGCCCGCGGCCUAUCAGCUAGUUGGUGAGGUAACGGCUCACCAAGGCUAAGACGGGUAGCUGGUCUGAGAGGACGACCAGCCACACUGGAACUGAGACACGGUCCAGACACCUACGGGUGGCAGCAGUCGAGAAUUUUUCUCAAUGGGGGAAACCCUGAAGGAGCGACGCCGCGUGGGGGAUGAAUGGCUUCGGCCCGUAAACCCCUGUCAUUUGCGAACAAACCUUACAUUUUAAUAGAGUGUGAGCUGAUUGUAGCGGAAGAGGAAGGGACGGCUAACUCUGUGCCAGCAGCCGCGGUAAUACAGAGGUCCCAAGCGUUGUUCGGAUUCACUGGGCGUAAAGGGUGCGUAGGUGGUCAGGUAAGUCUGAUGUGAAAGCUCUGGGCUCAACCCAGAAAUGGCAUUGGAUACUAUCUGGCUAGAGGAAUGGAGGGGGGACUGGAAUACUUGGUGUAGCAGUGAAAUGCGUAGAUAUCAAGUGGAACACCAGUGGCGAAGGCGAGUCC